rnacentral:ncRNA from 1 species
CUGUGAGAACGCCCUUCAACUCCUUUAAGGGGUAAGGAGCUGGUAUCAGGCGCACACACCCUAGCCCAAGACACCUAGCUAUGCCACACCUACAAGGGAACUCAGCAGUGAUUAACAUUAAACAUAAGCGACAGCUUGAUUCAGUUAAAGUAAAAAGAGCCGGCUAAUCUGGUGCCAGCCGCCGCGGUUACACCACGUGGCUCAAGUUGAUUUUAUUCGGCGUAAAGCGUGAUUUAAGAGAUCUGCCCAUGGUGUUAAAAAGGCACUAAGCUGUGACACGCUUGUUCCUAAGAAGCCCAAAAACGAAAGUUACACCAACCGCACUAACUUGAACCCACGACAGCUUGGAAACAAACUGGGAUUAGAUACCCCACUAUGCCUGGCCGUAAACUUUUACUUACAUCCGAAUCGCCCGGGAACUACGAGCAAAGCUUAAAACCCAAAGGACUUGACGGUAUCCCAAAUCCACCUAGAGGAGCCUGUCCUAUAAUCGAUAACCCCCGCUUAACCUCACCUCUUUUUGCCUUUCAGCCUGUAUACCUCCGUCGUCAGCUUACCACGUGAGUNCCACUGAGUGAGCCUAAUGUCUACACGUCAACACGNCAGGUCAAGGUGCAGCUAANGAAGAGGGAAGAGAUNGNCUACACUCUCUACUUUAGAAAAAACAAAAAACUAUUCAUGAAAUCUAGUUAGAAGGAGGAUUUAGUAGUAAAAAGAAAACAGAGUGUUCUUUUUAACCCGGCACUGGGAUGUGUACACACCGCCCGUCACCCUCUUCAUAAUCUUAUCCAAUUAUUUUAAUAAUCUUCGACACUUAGAAGAGGCAAGUCGUAACAUGGUAAGUAUACCGGAA